rnacentral:sRNA from 1 species
UUUGUCUCCAUUAAUAUAGUUUUUCUAGAAAAGUUGUUAUUUACGGAUCUCGUUAAACGGUGCAUUGUUAACUCAAACGACCUUCCUAGUCCUUGAAAUUCAAAAACAAUAAGCUCCAAAGGUUUGAUGAUCUGUCAUAUGGAACCACCUCCCAAGGUUUGCGCUAAGAGAAUUUAUAAUGAGAAUCCAUAGGUAUUAACCAUAACUUUAAAGAUAUAAAUAUAUCCCUUUCUGACCUAAGAUAUUCCUUUGAUGUCUCUUGUAGUUAUGCUAACAUGUUUACAUUAAUCCCGUAAAUAGUUUCAAUUUGUGGAGUUAGGAUUGCUCGCUCUAUAAUCCUUGCAUAUGUAAUUUUUGCAAAUUGUUUUCUGUAUUUAUGGUUUGAAAUAUAACCUGAAAAUAAUGUCUAAUCUAUUGCAUUAUAAAUUUAGGAUCAACGACCACAAUCUGACAAUCGUCUUUGUUGACCUAUUUAGCUUCACCUGUGGAUGCUUUUCCAUCUUCUACAGUUAGGAGCCAUGCAUCAAAAUUUUCUGGGAUUA